CUCAUCUCUGCCAAAUCCAUCUCUGAAAUCACUCCCCCACUCCAUCCCCUCCAGCAGCAGCAGGCAAACACCAUCGAUUGCUGUUGCAUCUCCUCCAAGGCUUCCACCUCACACUGGGAAGGAAGGAAGACCCUUGGAGAGAAGGGGUGUGCACAGUUGCUGAAGAAGGAGGGUAGCCGAGCUCAUCUGCAAGAUGUCCAGCAGCACCCACACCCCUUCCUAGAAAAUCAGGGGAAGAGAAGAAAACCAGAUAAGGCUGAAAUUGCAGCAGGAGAAGAAAACAGCCAGGACAUCCCUGUUAGUAGCAGGACUGAAUUCUUCCCUAGAACUUUAAUCCAGGGGUGAGGCACACAAAGUCAAGGGACUUUCUUUCCCUCCAGCAGAUCAGAUUUUUAUCAGGCACAAGUCGACAGCAAGAGCAAGCCCACGGCAGAUGGGUGGACGUCAAACACACUGGAGGAGGAUCCUCCUACAGCUCCUGGACUUGACAACCCUACUCCACUCGCUCCUGAUGGGCACUCAACUCCACUGGCUCGGCUUCUCAGGGAGAGCCCAGCUGCCUCCCAGUCAUGGCUGCACAGAGAGUUAACAAGAACUGCCAUUCUCCGCAGGGGAAGGAGGACAAAAGCAGGAAAGAGGGUUGGUCAAGCCGCACACUGGCAGAGGUCUCACUGGGAGGGAGCAACAGGAUGCUGGCAGCAUGGGUGUGUCCCCUGUCCAUCAGUGCUACUGCAGCUCCUCAAGAUCCCUCUGCCUGGGUGUCCUGCAGCGCUUGCUGACAGGCACCCCUUCCCCAAAAGAUUUGGGCACGGCCACAGUUGGCCAAGUAAGCACCUCCCUCUCCCAUGGCAGAGGUGCACGGCCAGGGAAGACAGCCCAGCUAUUGCUGGGUCCCUGCUUCCAGACGAUCACCAAAAGCCCAAGAAACAAGCCCAGAACUCUUUUUCCCAAGUGAAAAACAACCCCCAGUGGGGAAGGGAGAGCCCAGCGUGAUCCACACUGCAAACACAAGAGGCUACAGGAGGACACGCGUCCAGGGACGGCCGACACUCACAGCUCCUUCCAUUCUCCAGCCCCUCUGCGCUAUUGUUCCACAGCAAUAAAUCACGGGGAGGUGCUGGAA